rnacentral:ribozyme from 17 species
UUUUUCAAUUCUAAAUACCUAUUAAAUAAAUAAAUAGUAAAAGAAUAAGCCGUUACUUCAAUAGAUUAUAGAUGUCCUAAAGUGUUUGGCCUCCAUAAUAUAUUUCUAUCUCUAGAAAAGGAGGACGCGGACGAGUCGAACCGAAUCUCAAGAACCACCAG